rnacentral:rRNA from 1 species
UACGAAGGGGGCUAGCGUUGUUCGGAAUCACUGGGCGUAAAGGGCGCGUAGGCGGCCGAUCAAGUCGGGGGUGAAAGCCUGUGGCUCAACCACAGAAUUGCCUUCGAUACUGUUUGACUUGAGACCGGAAGAGGUUAGUGGAACUGCGAGUGUAGAGGUGAAAUUCGUAGAUAUUCGCAAGAACACCAGUGGCGAAGGCGGCUGACUGGUCCGGUUCUGACGCUGAGGCGCGAAAGCGUGGGGAGCAAACAGG